rnacentral:rRNA from 1 species
UACGGAGGGGGCUAGCGUCGUUCGGAAUUACUGGGCGUAAAGCGCGCGUAGGCGGCUUUGUAAGUUAGAGGUGAAAGCCCAGGGCUUAACCCUGGAAUUGCCUUUAAGACUGCAUCGCUAGAAUCGUGGAGAGGUGAGUGGAAUUCCGAGUGUAGAGGUGAAAUUCGUAGAUAUUCGGAAGAACACCAGUGGCGAAGGCGACUCACUGGACACGUAUUGACGCUGAGGUGCGAAAGCGUGGGGAGCAAACAGG